UACAGAGGUCCCAAGCGUUGUUCGGAUUCACUGGGCGUAAAGGGUGCGUAGGCGGUCAGGUAAGUCUGAUGUGAAAUCUCUGGGCUUAACCCAGAAAUGGCAUUGGAUACUAUUUGGCUUGAGAGUUGGAGGGGGGACCGGAAUUCUUGGUGUAGCAGUGAAAUGCGUAGAUAUCAAGAGGAACACCAGUGGCGAAGGCGAGUCCCUGGACAACUUCUGACGCUGAGGCACGAAAGCUAGGGGAGCAAACAGG
rnacentral:rRNA from 1 species